rnacentral:lncRNA from 10 species
GUGAAUGCAAAGGAGAAGUUCUUGAAGGAAAUUAAAAGUGCUACUCCAGUGAACACAGAAAGAUAGGAAAGCAAAACAACCUUAUUGCUGAUACGGAGAAAGUUGUAGUGGUCUGGUUAGAAGAUCAAACCAGCACAACAUUCACUUAAGCUAAAGCCUAAUCCAGAGCAAGGCCCUAACUUCAAUUCUGUGAAGGCUGAGAGAGGUGAGGAGGUUGCAGAAGAAAAGUUGGAAGCUAGCAGAGGUUGAUUCAUGAGGUUGAAGGAAAGAAGCCAUCUCCGUAACACAAGUGCAAGGUGAAGCAGCAA